CACAGCGUAAGUAAUUCAUGUGGGCGGGUGUGUUCAUCUGCCUUGUUCAUCGUGUUAAUCUGUUGGCACGCCGCCCUUUGUUAUAGCUGUGAUAGUUAAACAUCAAAACAACCUCGGGAAGGAGUGGCGUUUUUCCUCCCCCACUCUUGCACCCAUGAACUUAUUAUUGUGAGUAGCAUAAGAGAAGGAGCUCGAUUUAAAGCCAGUCCAGAUUUGAGUGGGUGGAGAUUAGACAACGUGGGAAGAAGGGGCCCUUGAUUUUUUUUUUAAUCAAAAUGGUUUCGGAAACAACGUAAAACUUUCUCUCCAACCCCGUAAGAGUUUCGUUUCAGUUCCACGUGCGCAAAACAUUGUACAGGGUAGGAUUUGUCGAAGCGUCGGCGGUAGAGUGUCUGCUUUGCAUGAGAUCAUCUGAGGUUCAAUUCCUGGCAUUCUUAGAAAGGGCAGCGAAAGACUUUGCCUGAAAUCCUGAAUAGCUGCUGCUAGCCUGUGUGACCUAGACAGAUCAAUGGCCUAGCUCGAUACGAUGAAGAACCACAGCUCAGUGUCAGACCAUCUGAUUUGCAUGCAUUCAAUCACCAGCAUCUCCAGGAUUGGGGAACUACAGGGCCUGGACCCAGAUGUGGCCCUAGUCUAAUGUUCAAAGACAAGAGUCUUUUUGGUUCCAACCCUCUCCACCUGUCCCUUGUAAAGUGGCCCAGGAAGAAGGAAUGUAGACCUCAAGCCGAGGAAGCGUAGAGAAAGGGGUAGAGAGCCCAGGUCACCAACACUGGAAUGCAAAAUUGGUUAGAACGUGGUGCUGACAACAGCAAGGUUGCAGGUACGAUCCCCAUAUGGGACAGCUGCAUAUUCCUGCAUUGCAGGGGGUUGGACUAGAUGGUCCUCAGGAUCCCUUCAAAUUCUACAAUUCUAUGAUUCUAAC